UGAGCCAUGGCUCAUGACGCCAGUGCUGAAUCCUGCCCCGGGAAGCCCAGAAGCAAGGUAGGUACACGGUCUGGCACUGUCGCGUGCGCAACACGAUCAAGCGUACCAAUGGGUACCUCAAAAACGUAUUCCGGUGCCUGGGCCACGACCGCGUCUUACACUACAGCCCGACGAAAGCAUCGUCAAUAAUAAAUGCAUGUUGCGUAGUAUACAACAUAAUGCAACAUUAUAGAAAUGUUCCCGAGGAAAUCGUAGGAGAUAUUGAUGAAGACGCUCCUCAAGAACUUCCUCGUCGUCAUGCGCAAAACGGACUACUAUUAAGAGUGGCGCAGGAAAAGCGUGCGCGUCUAAUAAAUACAUAUUUUGCUUA